rnacentral:tRNA from 1 species
GCCGAAGUGGUGGAAUUGGCAGACGCAACGGACUCAAAAUCCGUCGGGGUAACACUCGUGCGGGUUCAAGUCCCGCCUUCGGCACCA